AACGAACGCUGGCGGCAGGCUUAACACAUGCAAGUCGAACGCCCCGCAAGGGGAGUGGCAGACGGGUGAGUAACGCGUGGGAACAUACCCUUUUCUACGGAAUAGCUCUGGGAAACUGGAAUUAAUACCGUAUACGCCCUACGGGGGAAAGAUUUAUCGGGGAAGGAUUGGCCCGCGUUGGAUUAGCUAGUUGGUGGGGUAAAGGCCUACCAAGGCGACGAUCCAUAGCUGGUCUGAGAGGAUGAUCAGCCACAUUGGGACUGAGACACGGCCCAAACUCCUACGGGCGGCAGCAGUGGGGAAUAUUGGACAAUGGGCGCAAGCCUGAUCCAGCCAUGCCGCGUGAGUGAUGAAGGCCUUAGGGUUGUAAAGCUCUUUCACCGAUGAAGAUAAUGACGGUAGUCGGAGAAGAAGCCCCGGCUAACUUCGUGCCAGCCGCCGCGGUAAGAC
rnacentral:rRNA from 1 species